rnacentral:rRNA from 1 species
AUGUGUUUACGUGGAUGUUGUUUUACUCCAUUUUACUCAGUAUAUGAGAUUUUCUGCCACAUGGAGCAAUGUGAUCAGGAGGAGCUGUUUUUCCUCCUUCAGUCCUUAAGUGCAUUUAAAUAUGGCCGUUCUGAGUAUAUAUAUGAUACUUCAACGUCAAGGCUGAGUUUCUCUAAACACAAAAGCCUGCUACGGUGUGGAACCGAUCAUGGUGCGGCGUUCUACACCUAUAUUGUGUUAUUACCCAGUUAUACGCUGAGGUGUUAUUUUUUCUCUCAACGGCUCUCAGAUGUACCCAACAAAGAUAUGCUUGCAUCAGUUGAUCGUACUCCGUCGUCAAAAUGGCCCAAAGUAGCAAGAUUAUGCGUUACUGCUUUGUCUUAA